rnacentral:snRNA from 1 species
GCGCUCGCUUCGGCAGCACAUAUACUAAAACUUGGAACGAUACAGAGAUUAGCAUGACCCCUGCGCAAGGAUGACACGCAAAUUCGUGAAUUGUUCCAUAUUUUU